rnacentral:rRNA from 1 species
GUCCACGCUGUAAACGAUGAGAACUGGCUGUACGAAAGGGCUUAACCUUUUGUGUAGCGAAGCUAACGCGUUAAGUUCUCCGCCUGGGGAGUACGGUCGCAAGAUUAAAACUCAAAGGAAUUGACGGGGGCCCGCACAAGCGGUGGAGCAUGUGGUUUAAUUCGAUGCAACGCGAAAACCUUACCUACCCUUGACAUCUAACUAAUCCUGCUUAAGAAGUGGGAGUGCCGAAAGGAACGUUAAGACAGGUGCUGCAUGGCUGUCGU